CCUCCCCACAUCAGGGCUUCUCUUGGACACUCUUGUCUGUCAAGACUUGGGGAUACGCUGAGAUGCUUUCCACGCUGUGACUUUGUUGUAGGAGACAUAGAAUGAAAGACUGUGGGAGCUGGAAGGGUUCUUAAAGGUCAUCUGAGCCAGCUCCCUCAUUUUUACAUAUGAGGAAACUGAGGCACAAGCACAUGAAAUCCGUGCUCAGAGCUACAUGUAAACUAAUGGCCCAGCCUCCUCUGAUGGUUCAGUACUAUCCAGUCUGCGUGUAUGGACCACAGGAUCUGCCCCCCCAGUUCUUCCCUCUCCAAGGUGGACAGCAGCAGCCACAGCAGAUUCCGUCUUAUACUGAAUUUGGAUGCAUUACCCCACAAGCAGGAGCUGGAUUACCUGGAGGACAACAGCAGAUGAACAUGGAUCUGUUAAGAGGGGAUGUUCCUGAAACCCUGGGGUGCCAAUAGAGACUGUGCUGCCAUAUCCCCAAGGAGACAAUGUGAACCCUGGAUAUCCUUAUGGUGGGAUUUUCAUGCCUUCCCAUGCUUCUAAGCAUCCAAGAGGCAAUAUUUUGACUUCCUCUACAGAUACAGACAAUACCAUUCCUUUGGAGCUCACAGAGGAAAAGAUCAACCCUGACAUGCUGAAGGAAACAUAAAGUUCUCUCUUCUUGUGGAAUGGAGUUAUUUUGAAGAAAGCUCCUCCACAGAAUCAGGAUAUGACUUAACAGAUGUUAUUGAUUGCUUUGUAACUCCAAAAAUAAUUAUCCCUGGCUCACCAAGACAAAACAAGGACUGAGAAGAUACCGUCAAUGAUAAUUCUUCAGAUAAAAGACUCUCUAUGAGGAUUAGAUGGCGUUAUCCCAUACUAGAGCCUUAUCAAAACUAGACCUGUUCAAGAUUUUCAACUAGAAUAAGAAGAAUCUCAUUACAAUAUAGCUGCCUCUAUAAAGAAGUUUUCUGAAAGAAUAUCUACUGUCUACUUAUUUUUCCAAGUAGCCAAGCUCAUCCCUAGUUCUACACUCAUACUAUUUCAAAAAUUUUCGUCUUUCUUGAUGAAGUAAAGUUAUCUUACCAUAUGUUUCAUUUUAGCCUUUUAUUUAGAUCUUCCAUGAUUAAUGCUGUUUUAUAGAACAUCUUUCACUCUCCUAAAUUCAUUUUUUUGC